CGCGAGGGUGCAGACGACCGCGAUGACGCGGAGUAUGAGGUCCAGCAUGGACACCCCUCUACUGACCCCCUUGCUCAGGGGUGCCUUGGAGGUCUGAAGAAAACAGCCCAUGCCCCCUGCUUAUAUAUACACACAUACAUGGGGGGGCUGCCUCUGGAUCAGGUCAAUUUGGUGUUACAGCAGCUGGCGGUGCAAGGCGCCGCGUGCUGGUGCAUGCUCCCAGGCGCAUUUCGCCUGGUACCUGCUCCACAUAGCUCCAUGGAGACCAGUUUGCAAUUGCAUCGUUUCAGACAGAGCAGUUCUGUUGCUAGGCCUCCAAUAACAUGGGGAUCGGCUCGUGUCUUGCUUCUGCAGGGGAGGCUUCAGCUGGACGUUGGUUAGCUAGCCCAUGCCAGCUUCCGAAGCAACGGGAUGCCCUGCUUUUUCGUAAGAGGAAGGGGUGGUACGCCAUUUACGCAGAAGCCAGUUGAUUCGGCUUAUUGUUUCGUGCUUCUUCCAACUGAAAGAGCGGCGCCGGUCCCCUUGCUGCAAGGCUACGCGUAAGAGGAGCAGGAGGCAGGGCCACCUGUUCUGAGUUGACUCGCUGCAUUAUUUCUGCUUCUCUGGCUUGUGGAUGGAAGUGCAUCCACACCAGCAAACGAUUCCGUGAAUCCUUAUGUUUGGACUGUUUUCUGUUGUCCUUGCUGAUCUCGCCUUCUGGUUUUCUGCAAAGGCCAAGAAGAUCUCGAUUCCGUUGC